rnacentral:rRNA from 3 species
CGCGCGAUACAGGGUGACAGCCCCGUACACAAAAGCGCAUGUGUUGUGAGCUCGAUGAGUAGGGCGGGACACGUGGUAUCCUGUCUGAAUAUGGGGGGACCAUCCUCCAAGGCUAAAUACUCCUGACUGACCGAUAGUGAACCAGUACCGUGAGGGAAAGGCGAAAAGAACCCCGGCGAGGGGAGUGAAAAAGAACCUGAAACCGUGUACGUACAAGCAGUGGGAGCCCCACCACCAAAGCAUUCUCUGGUGUUGAAGGCCCUGCAAAGCAGCAUCGCGGUGGCGGAGCGUCGUUUGCGACGCCCAACACAAAAAACAAGCGGUGAGUGCUUUGGGGUGGGGUGACUGCGUACCUUUUGUAUAAUGGGUCAGCGACUUAUAUUCUGUAGCAAGGUUAACCGAAUAGGGGAGCCGUAGGGAAACCGAGUCUUAA